AUGCGGGCUGGCACCCAGGAGGAGGAGGCUGCCUUCCAGGUGGCGCUGGCGGCUGUCCUUUGUGAAAGCAAAGACGAAGAGCGGCGCAAGGUGGAGGAGGAAGAGGUGGCGUACCAGGCGCGCCUGUCAGAGGCCAUCACACUCUCUACUUCUGGAGACUGCUUCGUGCCACCGCUGGCGCUGUCGUCCCCCGUCAAGCCCGAGCCGGCGCCCCAGCAGUGGACUUGGCAAGGAGAGGUGCGCGAGUGGGUCAGCGCGCCAUCCAUAUGGUUUGGGGCGACGUCGGCGCAGGAGCAAAUCUACCUCGAGCAGUGGCGAAAGCAUCGGCUGACGGAGGAGCGCCGCGAGGGCGAGCGCCUAGAGCAGUGGGAGCGUGACGCGGGGAAGGAGGAGGAGCGCCGGGCCCGAGCUGUCCAGCCGGCGACGGUCACGCCGGCGCCGCAGGACGUCGCCACAACUUGGGAGUCGGCGUUCCCAUGGGCUGGCCCGACGUCGACGCUCAUCGGCCUCACCAGCCCCGAUCAUGACGACGAGGGUGCCUCGGGCAGCGCGCCUCCUCCUUGUUUUUAG
rnacentral:rRNA from 1 species